rnacentral:miRNA from 1 species
CAUUCACCGCGUGCCUUAA